rnacentral:rRNA from 1 species
ACACGUAGGGCGCAAGCGUUGUCCGGAUUUAUUGGGCGUAAAGGGCUCGUAGGCGGUUUCGUAAGUCGGGUGUGAAAACUCAGGGCUCAACCCUGAGACGCCACUCGAUACUGCGAUGACUUGAGUCCGGUAGGGGAGCAGGGAAUUCCUGGUGUAGCGGUGAAAUGCGCAGAUAUCAGGAGGAACACCAUUAGCGAAGGCGCUGCUCUGGGCCGGUACUGACGCUGAGGAGCGAAAGCAUGGGGAGCAAACAGGAUUAGAAACCCCAGUAGUCC